rnacentral:rRNA from 1 species
AACGAACGCUGGCGGCGCGUCUUAACCAUGCAAGUCGAGCGGCAGGCAGCAAUGCCGAGAGCGGCGGACUGGUGAGUAACACGUGGAUAACGUACCCCGAUGUCCGGGACAGCCUGUAGAAAUAGAGGGUAAUACCGGAUAGAUCACUGUUUACGUGAGGUAGACAGCGGGAAAGGAGCUUCGGCUCCGCGACGGGAUCGGUCUGCGGCCCAUCAGCUGGACGGCGGGGUAAAGGCCCGCCGUGGCGAGGACGGGUAUCCGGCCUGAGAGGGCGGACGGACACAUUGGGACUGAGAUACGGCCCAGACUCCUACGGGAGGCAGCAGGUAAGAAUAUUCCGCAAUGGGGGGAACCCUGACGGAGCGACGCCGCGUGAACGAAGAAGGCCGGAAGGUUGUAAAGUUCUUUUCUGUCCGAGGAAUAAGUUUCGGAGGAAAUACCGGGACGGUGACGGUAGGGCAGGAAUAAGCACCGGCUAAUUACGUG